rnacentral:rRNA from 1 species
UACAGAGGUCUCAACCGUUGUUCGGAUUCAUUGGGCGUAAAGGGUGCGUAGGCGGUCGUGCAAGUCGGAUGUGAAAUCUCAGGGCUCAACCCUGAAACUGCAUUCGAUACUGCGUGGCUAGAGUGCUGGAGAGGAGACUGGAAUUUACGGUGUAGCAGUGAAAUGCGUAGAUAUCGUAAGGAAGACCAGUGGCGAAGGCGAGUCUCUGGACAGCAACUGACGCUGAGGCACGAAAGCCAGGGGAGCGAACGGG